rnacentral:rRNA from 1 species
GCUAGAGAUGACGAGCGGCGGACGGGUGAGUAACACUUAGGAAUCUACCUAGUAGUGGGGGAUAGCACGGGGAAACUCGUAUUAAUACCGCAUACGACCUACGGGAGAAAGGGGGCAAUUUAUUGCUCUCGCUAUUAGAUGAGCCUAAGUCGGAUUAGCUAGAUGGUGGGGUAAAAGCCUACCAUGGCGACGAUCUGUAGCUGGUCCGAGAGGAUGAUCAGCCACACCGGAACUGAGACACGGUCCGGACUCCUACGGGAGGCAGCAGUGGGGAAUAUUGGACAAUGGGGGCAACCCUGAUCCAGCCAUGCCGCGUGUGUGAAGAAGGCCUUUUGGUUGUAAAGCACUUUAAGCAGUGAAGAAGACUCAAUGGUUAAUACCCAUUGACGAUGACAUUAGCUGCAGAAUAAGCACCGGCUAACUCUGUGCCAGCAGCCGCGGUAAUACAGAGGGUGCAAGCGUUAAUCGGAAUUACUGGGCGUAAAGCGAGCGUAGGUGGCUUGAUAAGUCAGAUGUGAAAUCCCCGGGCUUAACCUGGGAACUGCAUCUGAUACUGUUAGGCUAGAAUAGGUGAGAGGAAGGUAGAAUUCCAGGUGUAGCGGUGAAAUGCGUAGAGAUCUGGAGGAAUACCGAUGGCGAAGGCAGCCUUCUGGCAUCAUAUUGACACUGAGGUUCGAAAGCGUGGGUAGCAAACAGGAUUAGAUACCCUGGUAGUCCACGCCGUAAACGAUGUCUACUAGUCGUUGGGUCCCUUGAGGACUUAGUGACGCAGCUAACGCAAUAAGUAGACCGCCUGGGGAGUACGGCCGCAAGGUUAAAACUCAAAUGAAUUGACGGGGGCCCGCACAAGCGGUGGAGCAUGUGGUUUAAUUCGAUGCAACGCGAAGAACCUUACCUGGUCUUGACAUAUCUAGAAUCCUGCAGAGAUGCGGGAGUGCCUUCGGGAAUUAGAAUACAGGUGCUGCAUGGCUGUCGUCAGCUCGUGUCGUGAGAUGUUGGGUUAAGUCCCGCAACGAGCGCAACCCUUGUCCUUAGUUACCAGCGGUUUGGCCGGGAACUCUAAGGAUACUGCCAGUGACAAACUGGAGGAAGGCGGGGACGACGUCAAGUCAUCAUGGCCCUUACGACCAGGGCUACACACGUGCUACAAUGGUAGGUACAGAGGGCAGCUACACAGCGAUGUGAUGCGAAUCUCAAAAAGCCUAUCGUAGUCCGGAUUGGAGUCUGCAACUCGACUCCAUGAAGUAGGAAUCGCUAGUAU